rnacentral:rRNA from 1 species
CGGACGGGUGAGUAACGCGUGAGAACCUGCCUCUGGGACGGGGACAACAGUUGGAAACGGCUGCUAAUCCCGGAUAAGCCGAAAGGUAAAAGAUUUAUCGCCAAGAGAGGGGCUUGCGUCUGAUUAGCUAGUUGGUAGGGUAAGAGCCUACCAAGGCGACGAUCAGUAGCUGGUCUGAGAGGAUGAUCAGCCACACUGGGACUGAGACACGGCCCAGACUCCUACGGGAGGCAGCAGUGGGGAAUUUUCCGCAAUGGGCGAAAGCCUGACGGAGCAAGACCGCGUGGGGGAGGAAGGUUCUUGGAUUGUCAACCCCUUUUCUCAGGGAAGAAGAAAGUGACGGUACCUGAGGAAUCAGCAUCGGCUAACUCCGUGCCAGCAGCCGCGGUAAUACGGAGGAUGCAAGCGUUAUCCGGAAUGAUUGGGCGUAAAGAGUCCGUAGGUGGCUGAUCAAGUCUGCUGUUAAAGAGCGAGGCUUAACUUCGUCAAAGCAGUGGAAACUGAAGAGCUAGAGUGUAGUAGGGGCAGAGGGAAUUCCUGGUGUAGCGGUGAAAUGCGUAGAGAUCAGGAAGAACACCGGUGGCGAAAGCGCUCUGCUGGGCUACAACUGACACUGAGGGACGAAAGCUAGGGGAGCGAAUGGGAUUAGAUACCCCAGUAGUC